GUGGGGAAUUUUGGACAAUGGGCGAAAGCCUGAUCCAGCCAUGCCGCGUGCAGGAUGAAGGCCUUCGGGUUGUAAACUGCUUUUGUACGGAACGAAAAGACUCCUUCUAAUAAAGGGGGUCCAUGACGGUACCGUAAGAAUAAGCACCGGCUAACUACGUGCCAGCAGCCGCGGUAAUACGUAGGGUGCAAGCGUUAAUCGGAAUUACUGGGCGUAAAGCGUGCGCAGGCGGUUAUAUAAGACAGAUGUGAAAUCCCCGGGCUCAACCUGGGAACUGCAUGUGUGACUGUAUAGCUAGAGUACGGCAGAGGGGGAUGGAAUUCCGCGUGUAGCAGUGAAAUGCGUAGAUAUGCGGAGGAACACCGAUGGCGAAGGCAAUCCCCUGGGCCUGUACUGACGCUCAUGCACGAAAGCGUGGGGAGCAAACAGGAUUAGAUACCCCAGUAGUCC
rnacentral:rRNA from 1 species